AUUGAACGCUGGCGGCAGGCCUAACACAUGCAAGUCGAGCGGUAGCACAGAGAGCUUGCUCUCGGGUGACGAGCGGCGGACGGGUGAGUAAUGUCUGGGAAACUGCCUGAUGGAGGGGGAUAACUACUGGAAACGGUAGCUAAUACCGCAUAACGUCGCAAGACCAAAGAGGGGGAACUUCGGGCCUCUUGCCAUCAGAUGUGCCCAGAUGGGAUUAGCUAGUAGGUGGGGUAACGGCUCACCUAGGCGACGAUCCCUAGCUGGUCUGAGAGGAUGACCAGCCACACUGGACCUGAGACACGGUCCAGACUCCUACGGGAGGCAGCGUUGGGGAAUAUUGCACAAUGGGCGCAAGCCUGAUGCAGCCAUGCCGCGUGUAUGAAGAAGGCCUUCGGGUUGUAAAGUACUUUCAGCGGGGAGGAAGGCGAUAAGGUUAAUAACCUUGUCGAUUGACGUUACCCGCAGAAGAAGCACCGGCUAACUCCGUGCCAGCCGCCGCCGUAA
rnacentral:rRNA from 1 species